rnacentral:rRNA from 1 species
ACGCCCAACACACAAAACAAGCGGUGAGUGCUUUGGGGUGGGGUGACUGCGUACCUUUUGUAUAAUGGGUCAGCGACUUAUAUUCUGUAGCAAGGUUAACCGUAUAGGGGAGCCGAAGGGAAACCGAGUCUUAACUGGGCGUUAAGUUGCAGGGUAUAGACCCGAAACCCGGUGAUCUAGCCAUGGGCAGGUUGAAGGUUGGGUAACACUAACUGGAGGACCGAACCGACUAAUGUUGAAAAAUUAGCGGAUGACUUGUGGCUGGGGGUGAAAGGCCAAUCAAACCGGGAGAUAGCUGGUUCUCCCCGAAAGCUAUUUAGGUAGCGCCUCGUGAACUCAUCUUCGGGGGUAGAGCACUGUUUCGGCUAGGGGGUCAUCCCGACUUACCAACCCGAUGCAAACUGCGAAUACCGAAGAAUGUUAUCACGGGAGACACACGGCGGGUGCUAACGUCCGUCGUGAAGAGGGAAACAACCCAGACCGCCAGCUAAGGUCCCAAAGUCACAGUUAAGUGGGAAACGAUGUGGGAAGGCUCAGACAGCCAGGAUGUUGGCUUAGAAGCAGCCAUCAUUUAAAGAAAGCGUAAUAGCUCACUGGUCGAGUCGGCCUGCGCGGAAGAUGUAACGGGGCUAAACUGUGCACCGAAGCUGCGGCAGCGACGCUUAUGCGUUGUUGGGUAGGGGAGCGUUCUGUAAGCCUGCGAAGGUGUCCUGUGAGGGAUGCUGGAGGUAUCAGAAGUGCGAAUGCUGACAUAAGUAACGAUAAUGCGGGUGAAAAGCCCGCUCGCCGGAAGACCAAGGGUUCCUGUCCAACGUUAAUCGGGGCAGGGUGAGUCGACCCCUAAGGCGAGGCCGAAAGGCGUAGUCGAUGGGAAACGGGUUAAUAUUCCCGUACUUGGUGUUACUGCGAAGGGGGGACGGAGAAGGCUAUGUUGGCCGGGCGACGGUUGUCCCGGUUUAAGCGUGUAGGCUGGUUUUCCAGGCAAAUCCGGAAAAUCAAG